rnacentral:rRNA from 1 species
UAGGGAAUCUUCGGCAAUGGACGAAAGCCUGACCGAGCAACGCCGCGUGAGUGAAGAAGGUUUUCGGAUCGUAAAACUCUGUUGUUAGAGAAGAACAAGGACGUUAGUAACUGAACGUCCCCUGACGGUAUCUAACCAGAAAGCCACGGCUAACUACGUGCCAGCAGCCGCGGUAAUAUGUAGGUGGCAAGCGUUGUCCGGAUUUAUUGGGCGUAAAGCGAGCGCAGGCGGUUUCUUAAGCCUGAUGGGAAAGCCCCCGGCUCAACCGGGGAGGGUCAUUGGAGACUGGGAGACUAGAGUGCAGAAGAGGGGAGUGGAAUUCCAUGUGUAGCGGUGAAAUGCGUAGAUAUAUGGAGGAACACCAGUGGCGAAGGCGGCUCUCUGGUCUGUAACUGACGCUGAGGCUCGAAAGCGUGGGGAGCAAACAGG